GUUUUGUCAGUAACUUCUACCUUCUUCUCUUCACUCUCCUCUUCUAAAGAAACAGUGUUGUGGUUCUUGUGAAGUCCUUCAGUGCAGGACAGACACACACAUGUCUGAUCAUCUCUACAGAACAGCUCCAGAGGUCUCUCAUGUUUCUGACAUAUAUAGUCCUCCAGAUUCCUCACAGGAUUGAUCAGUUUGUGUUUCUUUAAACCUGCCACUUUCAAAUGAGGCUCCAGGUGAGUUUCACAGUAAGAGCUCUGACACCCCAGACACGACUUCAGGGCUUUCAGCUUUCUUUCCUCACAGACGUCACACAGAACUUCAGGUUUUUUCAGAACUUCAGUUUUUUUCUCAGGACUUUUCUUUUUAUAGUGAUCUACGAGCUCUCGGAGUGUGGUAUUAAUCUUGAGAUCAGGUCUGAUCUUGAAUGUUUCUUUACAAUAUGGACAGUUGCAGGUCUGGCUGUUGUCCCAGCACUUAUUCAGACAGGUCUUGCAGAAGUUGUGUCCACAUGGAGUGCUGACUGGAUCAGUGAACACGUCCAGACAUAUCGAGCACUGAAGCUCCUCAGUCAGUGGACCGCUGGAGGAUGACAUAUCUGGACAGAGAAAAUGUAGAGCAACUUUGAAAAAAG